rnacentral:piRNA from 1 species
UAGAUGCCCUUGUUUCUGAUUACAGCCUUC